AACGAACGCUGGCGGCAGGCCUAACACAUGCAAGUCGAGCGAAGCCUUCGGGCUUAGCGGCGGACGGGUGAGUAACGCGUGGGAACGUGCCCUUUGCUACGGAAUAGCCCCGGGAAACUGGGAGUAAUACCGUAUGUGCCCUUCGGGGGAAAGACUUAUCGGCAAAGGAUCGGCCCGCGUUGGAUUAGGUAGUUGGUGGGGUAAUGGCCUACCAAGCCGACGAUCCAUAGCUGGUUUGAGAGGAUGAUCAGCCACACUGGGACUGAGAGACGGCCCACACUCCUACGGGAGGCAGCAGUGGGGAAUCUUAGACAAUGGGGGAAACCCUGAUCUAGCCAUGCCGCGUGAUCGAUGAAGGCCUUAGGGUUGUAAAGAUCUUUCAGUGGGGAAGAUAAUGACUGUACCCACAGAAGAAGCCCCGGCUAACUCCGUGCCACUCGCCGCGGUAAAAC
rnacentral:rRNA from 1 species